UUUUUUUAUUUGUUGUUGUUUGCGUUAGUUAUAGCUCUGGUGGGUGAAGUGAUUCUUCUUCUUCUUCUCUUAAGCGCUUGUCUUUUUGAGAUUUUAUGGGUCGAUCAAUGAUUUUUCUUCGUCUUCUUCGUCUUCUUCUUCUUCUAAAUGUUUCCGAUUGAUUGAUUUUUUUUUUGUUUUCUAGGGUUUGGUUUCUAAUUUUUUUUUUCCUAGUGGCUUUGAUCUAUCGGUGAUGGCUUUGUGAUUGGUUUGUUGGGUUCUCUCUGUUACGUAUCCUACGGUGUUUUUUUAAUUCUAUAUGAUCCAGUUAUGGCCUUUCGACUCUGAAAUCUCUCAACUUCAACUUCUAGGGAUUCGUUUGAUUGAGGAGGAGGCUACUAAGAUCUCUCGCUGAUGGUUUUGAUUGAGGAGGAGGGUACUAAUAUAAGAUCUUCUAGGCAAGCAAGCUUUGUCAUAAUCUUGUCAAAGGAUGGAUCACAGCAAGAAGCAAUAUGGAGUGGGCCUCAAGGAUUGUCAUAUUAACUCAGGACUAGCAGAGAAAGGCAUCAGUGGAGAUGGUGAUGAUGACUUGCUAAAGCUCAUGACCAUUUAUGGUUUCUGGAGUUGAAAAACCAACAAGCAUCAAUGUGGAGGGACGGGUAUGUUUGCAAUAUGAAGGGCCUCAACGAUUUGCUCAAUACUACCAGAGAAAGGCAUCAGUGGAGAUGGUGAUGACUUGCUUAGCCGCAAGACCAUUGAUGGUUUCUGGGGUUUCUUUCGGAUGCUUGCCAUGCAUGAUCUCACUUUGUUGAUGGUUGCUGCAGUAGCACAGAAAAAAAUAGAGCUGCUGUCAGUGACUACAAACCUCUUCACGUUUAAGAGUUGGUGAGAGAUUUUGGAAUUACUUCUGAACAGCAAGGAUUACAACAAGCAGCAAUAUGGAGGGGAUAAGCUUUGCAGUCAUGAGACAUGCUUAUAUAUAUAUCUGGUUAUUUCUUAUCUCUUGUCUCUAGCUAACUUUUGGUAUGCGUGUUUUUUUUUUGUUGCAUCAGCCUCAAGGAUUGUCAAAUUUGCUCUAGACUAGCAGAGAAAGGCAUCAGUGGAGAUGAUGGUGAUGAUGACUUGCUAAAGCGCAAGACCUUUUGUGGUUUCUGGUACUAAGAUCUCUCGGUGAUGGUUUGAUUGUGGAGUAUUCUCUUUGAGUUGAAAAACAAACGACCAUCAAUAUGGAGGGACGGGUAAGUCAUUGGCUUAAGGUGGAAUUGAAGAAAGUGGAUCAUUGUCUCUUGUUGCUAAAGAUGGAAUUGUCUAUUAUGGUUUUGGAUGAUGCUUUUAUGAAUCAGUGAUGGCUUUGAAUGAUCAUCCUCACUCUUCAGGUCUUAGUCUGAUUUUGGAAACCAAUUAUUUGUUUUAAGCUUGCUUAUGGAGCGACGUGGUUCCGGGGAAAGGUACAUUUGAUCAUUACAACAUGAUGACAAAGUCUCCAUCUCAUUUUGGAAACCAAUUAUUUGUUUUAAAGUGCAAAGCAUACUUCAGAUCUUUGAUUUGAAAAUUUAUCUUAAGGUUAAGAUAGGGCUUGGAGACGAGGCAGGAGAUCACUACUACUAUGUUCUCUCUCGGUUCCAAGUUUGGAGAAUGCUAACUGUUACUAAGAUCCCAAAUCAUGACGGGCUAUAAAGAUUUCUCUUAAGCGCUAGAAGCUUCUUAUCGACAGCAGUCUUCCUGAUAUGUCUCCGUCUCAUUUUGGAAACAAUUUAUUUGUUUCAAGCUUGCUUAUGGAAGAUUACGUUAAAUUAUUACUACAUGAUGACAAAGUAAUACGCUACAUAUGCUUAUGGACCGACGUGGUUAUGGGGAAGAGUACAUUAAAUCAUUACAACAUGAUGACAACAUUCCAUCAUCAAAGAGUGCCUCUUGUCAUACCUGUUUGCGGAACAGCUUCUGUUGGCAAGUCCACUUAACAGCUUCUGCUCAGAGACUAAACUUGCCAUACGUCUUACAGAGUUACAGACGGACAUGGUAUAUGAGCUACUUCGAACAACAAUUGAGUACGUUUUCUCCUUUAUAAUGAUGGACAUACUAUGAAGAAGAGAUAUCCAAACAUGUUGAGUUCCCUUUGGAGUUGGACUUGCUUCCUUACAUGAGCACUAGUAACGAAGAUUUCCAAGUUUCUACAAAAUACCAUCUUUCGGCCAUUGGUCAUUACUCCUCUUGUCUGAGGUCAGCUCAUGAGACAUGGCAUUAGUUUGAUGACGCCCAAGAUGAUUGUUUGGCUGAAAUUGCUCGUGACAACAAGUGAAGUCUGGUGCCAAAGAAGUCUACUUUCUCUUCUGGUACUAAAGCGCCUGCAUCUCAUAAACUGGUCACUGACCUGAUUUUCAAAUACCUUUGCAGAAUGGGGAAUUGAUUACUUAAAGUAUGACAACUGCAACUCAGUCUUCUGCCCCCAAUUAUUAAUUCCUUUUGUCUCAAUCGGAUUUUGGCAACCAAUUUAUUUGUUUAAGGUCUCAGUCUGAUUCUGGAAACAAAUUAUUUGUUUAAGUUUGCAGCUUGGUUUUGGACCGACGUAGUUAUGGGGGAGAGUACAUUAUUAAAUCAUUACAACUGUUGUUGCAGUUGUUGCUGUUAAAGUAAAAUGUCUUGGUGGGCCAGAAAGUGAUGGAAGUGGUACCAUUGUUGAUGCAGUUUCACGUCCUGGAUGAGACUUUUCAGAUCCUGUGAUUUCUGCAACCCUUAGUAUUGUGCAGGGCGUUCAUGGCUUCUUCCCUAUCUUCAAUUGUUUAUGAUUGAGAUAAUCCAGAUUGUGUGUGGUUUUCAGAACUGCCGCAGACUCGAUUUUUAGCACCGUUUAUAUUUCCUUUUCUUCUGCUGGGCUUCCGGGGUUCGGACAAAAGCUUUCCCACAGAAAACAUUUGCCCUCUGUGAAUUGGUUGAUUUCCUACUCAAAAGUAUUCAACGGCAUUGGGAUCUUUCUAUGAGAAGUUCGGACCAGACAUCAUCAACAUCAUGAGGACAAAGGCCAGAGAGGUGUUGCAGAGGGAAGAGGAUCUUAAUGAAAUUGUCCAGGCUAAAGAAAUUUCUCUUUCACACCGUAAGAAUAUUCCUACAUCUUGCUCUUCCACUUUUGGUGAACCUUAUACGACCAAGAAAAGGUAAAUCUCUAACAGCAGAAGAUCAACGAUGGCUAAGAUUUAUUCUUACAUUACAGAGUAUUUUGGUAUGUUAUGGGGGUGAUAGCAUUGGGAUCAGCUCUAAAGCACAUAGUGAAAUAUAUCCAGAAUCAAGUCAAAUACCACUUUAGCCUAGCCUAUAAACAAA